rnacentral:rRNA from 1 species
AUGGAAACCCAUGAGCCUUGUGGUCAUCGUCUCGGCGACAGGGUUGAUGGAGAGCAGCAGCACGUCGUCUCCUGGAGCGAUAUCAUUGGUGUGAUAGGCCGUAGCCUUUCCAUCAAAUGCCUCCUGCGGCUGUCCAGGUCAGACUAUGGCUCCGUGGCGUGUCUGAACCAAGACUUCAAUUCGCUGGUCCGCAGUGGGGAGAUCUACCGCCUGCAUCGGAACAAUGGCGUAGAGGAGUACUGGCUCUACUUCUCCCGCAACCCUCUGCAGUGGGAUGCUUACGACCCACACUGCGGACGCUGGAUCGAAGUGCCCAGGAUGCCACAAGACGAAUGCUUCAUGUGCUCCGACAAGGAGUCCCUCGCUGUCGGAACCGAGCUACUGGUGUUUGGGAUGGCACACAUUGUAUACAAAUAUAGCAUCCUAACAAAUUCAUGGACACGGGCUGGUCCGAUGAACUCACCGCUUUGCCUAUUUGGGUCGACAAGUGCUGGUGAAAAGGCAUAUGUCGCGGGGGGGAUCGAUUCGCUUGGAAGGAAACUGAGUGCCGCGGAGAUGUACAACUCUGAGACACAUGCAUGGACACCCCUUCCUUGCAUGAAUGAGGCUAGGAUGAUGUGUUCUGGCGCGUUCAUGGAUGGCAAGUUUUAUGUGAUCGGUGGUGUUACCAACAACAACAAGGUACUGAAAUGUGGUGAGGAAUAUGACUUGGAGCGGGGGUCUUGGAGGGUCAUCGAGAACAUGUGUGAGGGCGUCCACGGAAUGGCCGGUGCUCCUCCACUCAUCGCCGGUGCUACUCCACUCAUUGUCGUUGUCAACAAUCAGCUUUAUGCAGCUAAUUACAACGACAAGGAUGUGAAGAGGUAUGACAAGCUGAAUAAUAGGUGGAUCGCUCUUGGAAAAUUGCCUGAACAUUGCGUGUCAAAGGAUGGUUGGGGCAUUGCUUUCCGAGCGUGUGGUGACCGGCUGAUUGUCAUUGGAGGUCCUAGGACUUAUACUGGUGGCACGAUUGAGAUUCAUUCAUGGAUCCCGGAUGAUCAACAACCGCCUGUGUGGAAUUUGGUUGCUAAACGGUCAUCCAAGAGCUUCCUUUAUAACUUGGCCAUGAUGGGUUGCUGA